rnacentral:RNase_P_RNA from 1 species
UUUAGACAAGUGCUGGGAUUAAUUCCUAGAGGAAAGUCCAUGCUCACACAGUCUGAGAUGAUUGUAGUGUUCGUGCUUAAGGAAAAAAUAACUUAAGGUAGUGUUUAACACUAACGGCUUAGUCUUUACCUAAGGUUUUUCUAUGGUAAAGGCUUAUAAAGUGCCACAGAGACGAGCAUCUAGGAAACUAGAUUAUGUGAAACGCGGUAAACCCCACGAGUGAGAAACCCAAAUUAUGGUAGGGGAGCUUUAAGAAAAGAAAUGAAUUUUCUUAAGGACUAGAAAUAGUAGAUAAAUACUUGUCACCUAGAAAUAGGUACAGAACAUGGCUUAUU